rnacentral:rRNA from 1 species
UACGGAGGGGGCUAGCGUUGUUCGGAAUUACUGGGCGUAAAGGGCGCGUAGGCGGCUCAUUUAGUCAGACGUGAAAGCCCCGGGCUCAACCUGGGAAUAGCGUUUGAUACUGGUGGGCUUGAGGACCGGAGAGGAUAGUGGAAUUCCCAGUGUAGAGGUGAAAUUCGUAGAUAUUGGGAAGAACACCAGUGGCGAAGGCGGCUAUCUGGACGGUUACUGACGCUGAGGCGCGAAAGCGUGGGGAGCAAACAGG